CUACGGGCGGCUCCAGUGAGGAAUUUUGCGCAAUGGGGGAAACCCUGACGCAGCAACGCCGCGUGAGCGAAGAAGGCCUUCGGGUCGUAAAGCUCUGUCAAGUGGGAAAAAAAUUCUUUGAUGAACAGUCAAAGGACUUGAUGGUACCACUGGAGGAAGCACCGGCUAACUCCGUGCCAGCAGCCGCGGUAAUACGGAGGGUGCAAGCGUUGUUCGGAAUUACUGGGCGUAAAGGCGUGUAGGCGGUUGACAAGUCAGAUGUGAAAGCCCCGGGCUCAACCCGGGAAGUGCAUUUGAAACUGGUUCACUAGAGUAUGGGAGAGGAGAUUGGAAUUCCUGGUGUAGAGGUGAAAUUCGUAGAUAUCAGGAGGAACACCCGUGGCGAAGGCGAUUCUCUGGACCAAUACUGACGCUGAGACGCGAAAGCGUGGGGAGCAAACAGGAUUAGAUACCCUAGUAGUC
rnacentral:rRNA from 1 species